GGAGCGUCGAUAUUAAGCAGCCAUCACUGUUCGUCGCGCAUAUUGCAUCUGUUUUUUAUUUGUUGAACCUCAAUUAAAUUGUUGCUCUUAAAUUGGUUUGGACGUUUUUUGUAUUUUCUAGCCCGGGGAACAGACACAGUCUCUAUAGUGUGAUAUCUAGGUGAAAGAGUCUCUAUGUGCUGAGAAUUAACUGACUUCUGUGACUGGAGGCGGCUAGCAGACGGUCGGUUUAGCCAGUCUGUCUGCUUCCUGACCUGGGCCCCAGUUAGUCAAGUACAAACUCUAAGACUAUGUGCCAUAUUUCUAGAAAGAAGAGCGGCACCACCCCAGGAGGGAUGAAGACCAUCUCUUUUCAACAGGUCAGGUCUGCCCCAAAAGCUCGUCUAAUUGUCUAUGAAACCUAUGUUAUUCUGCGGGCACCACUUAGACAUCCAGCCAUUGAGUGAUGACAAUCUGCUAUGUAUCUCAUCACCACGGUAUGCAGGGAGGGGACCAGAGCAUAUUACAGUGUCUGACAUCGUGCUUGCAAGUUCACGCACCUCUUUAUGCUAUUUUUAGUGAUCUUGCCCUCCUUUCCAACAACACUGUUGAGUUUCUCAUGUAUGAUUGUCAGACUCUUUUGGACAUUUGUAGUUCCAAUGAAGGUGCAGUGGACGCAAAAUUGGGCCUUUUUACUGACCUCACACAUAGGACUCUCUUACUGGACGUCCCGGCUUUCCUUCGGUGACUACCUCUGGACACUUCUCCAAGAAAGCAUCGGAGAAGACGUGGGAAUCGCGGAGGUGUGUUCAUCAGGAUAAAGACCUUCAUGAGAGCUGUGACACGCUGGCUCAGGUUAAUCUUGACGGACCCCCCUGAUUCUGCUCCUGCUUCUCUUGACUCUCGGGUUCAAGCGGAAAAAUUUCCACUUGGAUCAUUAUCCAGCCAUACUGUAAGGGCGCAAAUACUGCUUACCUCUGAGCAAAGCAAAGCAUCGGCUUCGUGCACCAUUCUAUGCUCCCCAAAAAUUGCGCUGAUAAAAGCUCACUCCCUGGUAAACAAGACAUUCAUCCUCAACGAUUUUAUUACAACUCACGACCUGGAUUUUCUGUUUAUCACCAAGACCUGGGUGAAGAUAGGGGACUUCAGUCCAUAUUCUGAACUUGUUCCAGCCGACUAUCACUUUUACAAUGCUCCACGAUCAUCAGGCAGAGGCAGCGGGCUAGCCAUCAUUGCUAAAGAUUCUUUCAGACCUCGAUUGCCGACUGUUAUCCUCCACCACCUUCACGAGUUUUGA
ensembl:lncRNA